rnacentral:rRNA from 1 species
AACGAACGCUGGCGGCAGGCUUAACACAUGCAAGUCGAACGGUUGUAGCAAUACAGCAGUGGCAGACGGGUGAGUAACACGUGGGAACCUUCCUAGGGGUACGGAACAACUCAGGGAAACUUGAGCUAAUACCGUAUACGUCCGUGAGGAGAAAGAUUUAUCGCCCUUAGACGGGCCCGCGUCGGAUUAGCGGGUUGGUGGGGUAACGGCCUACCAAGGCGACGAUCCGUAGCUGAUCUUAGAGGAUGAUCAGCCACACUGGGACUGAGACACGGCCCAGACUCCUACGGGAGGCAGCAGUGGGGAAUCUUGGACAAUGGGCGCAAGCCUGAUCCAGCCAUGCCGCGUGAGUGAAGAAGGUCUUCGGAUUGUAAAGCUCUUUUACCAGGGACGAUAAUGACGGUACCUGGAGAAUAAGCCCCGGCAAACUUCGCGCCAGCAGCCGCGGUAACAC